AUUGAACGCUGGCGGCAUGCUUUACACAUGCAAGUCGAACGGUAACAGGCCUUCGGGUGCUGACGAGUGGCGCACGGGUGAGUAAUGCAUCGGAACGUACCCAGAGGUGGGGGAUAACGCAGCGAAAGCUGUGCUAAUACCGCAUGUGAUCUCAGGAUGAAAGCGGGGGACCGAGCAGCAAUGUUUGGCCUCGCGCCUUUGGAGCGGCCGAUGUCGGAUUAGCUAGUUGGUGGGGUAAAGGCCUACCAAGGCGACGAUCCGUAGCUGGUCUGAGAGGACGACCAGCCACACUGGGACUGAGACACGGCCCAGACUCCUACGGGAGGCAGCAGUGGGGAAUUUUGGACAAUGGGCGCAAGCCUGAUCCAGCAAUGCCGCGUGCGGGAAGAAGGCCUUCGGGUUGUAAACCGCUUUUGGCAGGAACGAAACGGUGUCCGCUAAUACCGGGCGCUAAUGACGGUACCUACAGAAUAAGCACCGGCUAACUACGUG
rnacentral:rRNA from 1 species